CAUUGUGACUUGGAUGGAGCGUUGUCUCAUUGGCACUCAUACCACAUUUUUACUUUUAAUGAAAAUAUCUUAUCUUAUAUUAUCUUAUCUUAUCUUUUUAUUUAUAUAAACACUACAUACAGCUAUUAAAGUGCACAUUGGAGGCAUAUACGGUGGAUUACCGGUAUUUCAUUAGCAAAGCAUAUGGAAAUGAGGAAAGCCACAGCUGGGAUAUGCGAAAGACAACAUUUUUGGAAAUACUGCAGGCAAAGAGUUGUAUGCCUUGGUUCUCGCCGAGUUUUCGGAAUGGAAAAUUAAAUCAAUACAGCGAUUGGGAUUUACAGAUAGACACUAUUUGACAGUCAAAGACAGUAUCAAUAAUUCCAAGCUACAGGCAACACUAGACAGAAUGAUGUCUCAGAAUAUGAACAGUGGUACAAGAUAUUUCAAAGAUGUUUUGUUUGUGGAAGCUGAAAUCUUAGUUGUUUCUCACAUCAAGAAGAUAACUGUACCUGAAGCUGACAGGUUACUUCAUCCUUUGCCGAGUUUGAAACGCUAAUUCAUAUAACUGCUAAUUAACUGAUGGAUACUUAAUGAUGAACACAAUGAAACAUGUGAUGCUUUUUUAUGUGGUUUAUUUGUUUUUAGAAUAUUCGUAAAAUAGAACUACUGAUUCAAAUUUCAACCAUAUUGUAAUUUUUAGGAUUUCCACGAAAAUACUCUGAUACACAAAUACAAAAUAAGGUGUAUGAAGGAAAACAUGUAACCUUUGUCAAUGAUUUCUGUCAACCGGCCGAGUUUGUAUGAUAAAAUAUUAUGAAACAUGUAAUAAAAGUACGAAUCAUAUUAGUAGAUAUAAGCUGUAUCAAUUUCAGUGACUCACUUUAUAAUUCAAAAUAAUUUAAUCAGAUUGUUUUUUUUUUCAAAUUAAAACCUUUUGUUUUUGUCGUGUAUCAUGCAGUGUUUUAGAAAUAGAAUAAAUACAUGAAUAUUGGAUCAAAGCUUUAUAUCCCAAUAGGUUGUGGUUGCAGUAUUUUUUUCACUAAAUAGUAGAAUUAUGUUAUGUAUUUUGCAAUUCUGUUAUAAAUGAGUAAUCUAUUCAAACGAAGGUGCUGUCUUUAUUUUACUUUAAUAAAGUAUUGAUACAUA